AUUUGAUUCUUCGGAUGAAGAUCUUGGUGACUGAGUGGCGGACGGGUGAGUAACGCGUGGGUAACCUGCCUCAUACAGGGGGAUAACAGUUAGAAACGACUGCUAAUACCGCAUAAGCGCACAGCUUCGCAUGGAACAGUGUGAAAAACUCCGGUGGUGUGAGAUGGACCCGCGUCUGAUUAGCCAGUUGGCGGGGUAACGGCCCACCAAGGCGACGAUCAGUAGGGGUUCUGAGAGGAAGGUCCCCACAUUGGAACUGAGACACGGUCCAAACUCC
rnacentral:rRNA from 1 species